ensembl:piRNA 21ur-3405 ncRNA
AUGGAUCUAAAAUUUGUAGAA